rnacentral:misc_RNA from 1 species
UGUUGGAGAACAGAUGAUAGGAUAUCUGCAGCAGACUCAGCAUCAAGAAGCAUUGAGUUAUAUUUCCUCCUCCAGUUGCUCACAAGUAUUACUUUGGCUCCAUGUGCAUAUAUAUACUUGAUGGUAGAAAUUGCAUUGAAAACUGAUUGUGGGCGCUGGUCCAGUUCUUCCCUUAACAAAAUUGCACUAUCAAAUCUGACCAUGACAACUUUUUCUGCAAGUUCCUCCUUAGGAAUUUCUCUAAGAGUUUGUACGUAUGGGAGGGCCUCUGAUUCUCCCACAUUACAAUAGUCAGCCUUAUAUUCAGGUGACCUUCUGCUUUGAUCUGCAACCAGAAAACCACCUUGUGAAGAUGAUCGAACUUCAGGGUACUUAAAUUUAACAGUAUUUCCAACAUAUGAACAGAAUUUGGGUGGAAACAGUUUGUGUAUAAUCUUAAGAGAACCAUACAAGCUUAAUUCUUUUGUUAAUAGCGUCCCUUCAAGUUGGUUCAGAGGUUGAACCAUCAUCUCCUGUUGUCUCUCAACGCCAAGUAGCCAUUAUAAGAACCUCUCAGAGCUCAAGGGAAGAGGCAAAUGCACCCUCUGCCUCUGCUCCGCUUGCG